GGAAGGGAGCACAAAGAAACUGAUGUCAAGUGCACAGAGUCCCAGCACAGUGGUGAUGCCCCUUACUACCUUUUCCAGCAUGGGCCAGCAUCCCAGAGAGGAUUGCUUUGUGCGCUAGUUUGGAGUCCUCUGCCAUCACCUUCAGCAUGUUUCAGGCCACAGGAAGCCGCUGAUCUCCCCGGGUGUCUUGCUGCAAGGAGCCUUCCAGAUGCAAGUUAUUCUUGGAGAUCUUCUCCGUGCAGCUUGGAGCGUUUCAGCGCGAUUUCAACGUGUUUCUGACAGCAGUGUUCAGUAUCUCACUGCCUCUCUCACAAUGGAGGCGGGUGUGGGUGCUGCUGCCCCGCAGCGCAUGCUGCUUCUGCUCCUCCUGCACACGCUGCUGGUGCCCAAGUGCAGCGCCCAUGGGCUGGAUCUCUGCCUUCCCCGAGCACUGACCUCCUUGGCAUGGUCUGGUGGUGGGCAGGGAGAGAAUGGCUGUGGGUUUCCCAUGCAAAUACAAGUACAAGCAAAUACAUGGUUUUCAGAAGCAAUUGCUGUUUACUCUAGCUUCACAGGAAGAAAAUCUGGUCAAAAUGCUGAAGAACACAGACCACUGUUUGCUGUGGAAACCAGCAGCUCACACGGACUAAGGAUCACCCAGCUGAGGCCAGCAGUGGGCACUGAGGCCGUAUUACAUCCUGACAUUUUCCGAGGGCAAAAUAAACAAAAAAAUGCUCAGCCUUUCACUGCAGCCCAAGCAGAACGUGUGCUGCUCCUAAAGUUGAAGAACGGCGGUCACUCUAGUGCAGGGAAAGCUCUUAAGAGCUAGUCACUCGGGAAAUAAACCUAAAAGUCAGGCUAACCA
rnacentral:lncRNA from 1 species